GACGAACGCUGGCGGCGUGCUUAACACAUGCAAGUCGAACGAAGUGGCGAACGGGUGAGUAACGCGUAAUCAACCUGCCCUUCAGAGGGGGACAACAGUUGGAAACGACUGCUAAUACCGCAUACUGAAGGAGGGGAUUGCGUCUGAUUAGCUAGUUGGAGGGGUAACGGCCCACCAAGGCGAUGAUCAGUAGCCGGUCUGAGAGGAUGAACGGCCACAUUGGGACUGAGACACGGCCCAGACUCCUACGGGAGGCAGCAGUAAGGAAUAUUGCGCAAUGGGGGAAACCCUGACGCAGCAACGCCGCGUGGAGGAUGACACUUUUCGGAGCGUAAACUCCUUUUAUCAGGAAAGCGGUACCUGAUGAAUAAGCACCGGCUAACUCCGUGCCAGCCGCCGCGGUAAUAC
rnacentral:rRNA from 1 species